GUUGGGAUGGCCGAGUUGGUCUAAGGUGCCAGAUUAAGGUUCUGGUCCGUGGGUUUAAAUCCCACUCUCAACA